rnacentral:rRNA from 1 species
AUUGAACGCUGGCGGCAGGCUUAACACAUGCAAGUCGAACGAGUGGCGGACGGGUGAGUAAAGCUUGGGAAUCUAGCUUAUGGAGGGGGAUAACUACGGGAAACUGUAGCUAAUACCGCGUACCAUAGGUUGAGCCCAAGUGGGAUUAGGUAGUUGGUGAGGUAAAGGCUCACCAAGCCGACGAUCGCUAGCUGGUGUGAGAGGAUGACCAGCCAAACUGGAACUGAGACACGGCCCAGACUCCUGCGGGAGGCAGCGGUGGGGAAUAUUGCGCAAUGGGGGCAACCUGACGCAGCCAUGCCGAGUGAAUGAAGAAGGCUUUCGGGUUGUAAAGUUCUUUCGGUAGGGAGGCGUUAACUACAGAAGAAGCACCGGCUAACUCCGUGCCAGCAGCCGCGGUAAUAC